rfam:Oryctolagus cuniculus unplaced genomic scaffold chrTn0034, whole genome shotgun sequence.
CACAGUGCUGGCCCCUUAGUUUAUUUCUUAACCUUUGCUUUGUAAAUGUCUUUCGUGUUUCUAAGUGAUUUUUUUCUUAUUCAUGCU